rnacentral:rRNA from 1 species
AAGGACGGACUCGGUGAAAUUGUAAUUGUGGUGAAGAUACCACAUACCCGCGGCAAGACGGAAAGACCCCGUGAACCUUUACUGUAGCCUGGUAUUGAUGCCUGGCAUAUCAUGCGUAGGAUAGGUGGGAGGCAUUGAAGCUCCGGUUUCGGCCGGAGUUGAGCCAACCUUGAAAUACCACCCUUGCUAUGUUAGUCACCUAACCGUGACCCGUGAAUCCGGGCAUGGAACCGUGCCAGGUGGGCAGUUUGACUGGGGCGGUCUCCUCCAAAAGAGUAACGGAGGAGCUCAAAGGUACACUCAGCGUGGUUGGCAAUCACGUGUAGAGCAUAAGGGUACAAGUGUGCUUAACUGCGAGACUUAUCGGUCGAGCAGAUGCGAAAGCAGGACUUAGUGAUCCGGUGGUUCCGUGUGGAAGGGCCAUCGCUCAACAGAUAAAAGGUACUCCGGGGAUAACAGGCUUAUGACUCCCGAGCGUUCAUAGCGGCGGAGUCGUUUGGCACCUCGAUGUCGGCUCAUCACAUCCUGGGGCUGUAGGUGGUCCCAAGGGUUGGGCUGUUCGCCCAUUAAAGUGGUACGCGAGCUGGGUUCAGACCGGCGCGAGCCAGGUCGGUCCCUAUCUGCCGUGGGCGCAGGAAUCUUGAGGAGAUGUUUCCUUAGUACGAGAGGAUUGGGAAGCACUGACCGCUGGUGUACCGGUUGUCCCGCUAGGGGCACCGCCGGGUAGCUAAGUCGGGAAAGGAUAACCGCUGAAAGCAUCUAAGUGGGAAGCCUACUCCAAGAUUAGGAUUCCAUUCCGCUUCGUGCGGAUGAAGAGCCCUGACAGACUAUCAGGUUAAUAGGCCGGGUGUGUAAGCGUAGAGAUACGUUCAGCUAACCGGUACUAACGCUCGAUUACUUGACCAU